GGGAAUAUUGCACAAUGGGGGGAACCCUGAUGCAGCGACGCCGCGUGGGUGAAGGAGUAUUUCGGUAUGUAAAGCCCUAUCAGCAGGGAAGAACAAUGACGGUACCUGACUAAGAAGCACCGGCUAAAUACGUGCCAGCAGCCGCGGUAAUACGUAUGGUGCAAGCGUUAUCCGGAUUUACUGGGUGUAAAGGGAGCGCAGGCGGCGCGUUAAGCCUGGUGUGAAAGCCCGCGGCCCAACCGCGGGACUGCAUUGGGAACUGGCGCGCUGGAGUGCCGGAGGGGUAGGCGGAAUUCCUAGUGUAGCGGUGAAAUGCGUAGAUAUUAGGAGGAACACCAGUGGCGAAGGCGGCCUACUGGACGGUGACUGACGCUGAGGCUCGAAAGCGUGGGGAGCAAACA
rnacentral:rRNA from 1 species